GCGGAAGUUUACGGAUGGAAGGUUAUAUACUUAGUGGCGGACGGGUGAGUAACGCGUGGGCAACCUGCCCCGUGCCGGGGGAUACCGCCUGGAAACAGGCGCUAAUACCGCAUAAGCGCAUACAGCCGCAUGGGUGUAUGCGGAAAGCUCCGGCGGCACGGGAUGGGCCCGCGCCCGAUUAGCCAGUUGGCGGGGUAACGGCCCACCAAAGCGACGAUCGGUAGCCGGCCUGAGAGGGCGGACGGCCACAUUGGGACUGAGACACGGCCCAAACUCCUACGGGAGGCAGCAGUGGGGAAUAUUGCACAAUGGGGGAAACCCUGAUGCAGCAACGCCGCGUGGGUGAAGGAGCGUUUCGGCGCGUAAAGCCCUGUCAGCGGGGAAGAAGAAAGACGGUACCCGACCAAGAAGCCCCGGCUAACUACGUGCCAGCAGCCGCGGUAAUACGUAGGGGGCGAGCGUUAUCCGGAAUUACUGGGUGUAAAGGGAGCGUAGACGGCGAGGUAAGCCUGAAGUGGAAGCCCGCGGCCCAACCGCGGAACUGCUUUGGGAACUGUUUUGCUGGAGUAUGGGAGGGGUAAGCGGAAUUCCUGGUGUAGCGGUGAAAUGCGUAGAUAUCAGGAGGAACACCGGUGGCGAAGGCGGCUUACUGGACCAUAACUGACGUUGAGGCUCGAAAGCGUGGGGAGCGAACAGGAUUAGAUACCCUGGUAGUCCACGCCGUAAACGAUGAUUACCAGGUGUCGGGUGUCGAAGGACGGCCGGUGCCGCAGCGAACGCAGUAAGUAAUCCACCUGGGGAGUACGUUCGCAAGAAUGAAACUCAAAGGAAUUGACGGGGACCCGCACAAGCGGUGGAGCAUGUGGUUUAAUU
rnacentral:rRNA from 1 species